rnacentral:rRNA from 1 species
UUGACCUCAAAUCAGGUAGGACUACCCGCUGAACUUAAGCAUAUCAAUAAGCGGAGGAAAAGAAACUAACAAGGAUUCCCCUAGUAACUGCGAGUGAAGCGGGAUGAGCUCAAAUUUUGAAUCUGGCGGUCUUUGGCCGUCCGAGUUGUAAUCUAGAGAAGCGUCUUCCGCGCUGGACCGUGUACAAGUCUCCUGGAAGGGAGCGUCAUAGAGGGUGAGAAUCCCGUCUUUGCCACGGACUACCAGUGCUAUGUGAUGCGCUCUCGACGAGUCGAGUUGUUUGGGAAUGCAGCUCAAAAUGGGUGGUAAACUCCAUCUAAAGCUAAAUACAGGCGAGAGACCGAUAGCGAACAAGUACCGUGAGGGAAAGAUGAAAAGAACUUUGGAAAGAGAGUUAAACAGUACGUGAAAUUGCUGAAAGGGAAACGCUUGAUGUCAGUCGCGUCGGCUGGGGAUCAACCUUGCUUUUUCGCUGGGUGCAUUUCCUGGUCGAUGGGUCAGCAUCAGUUUCACUCGCCGUACAAUGGCAAAGGGAACGUGGCACUCUUCGGAGUGUGUUAUAGCCUUUCGUCAUAUGCGGUGGUCGGGACUGAGGAACUCGGCACGACUUCGGUCUGUGUCUAGGAUGCUGC